rnacentral:rRNA from 1 species
CCCUUAGAUGUUCUGGGCCGCACGCGUGCUACACUGAGUGGAUCAGCGGGUCAGGUUGCGCGAAAGCGUUUCCUAAUCUUUAAAUCCGCUCGUGAUGGGGAUUGACGGUUGCAAUUUUCUGUCAUGAACGAGGAAUACCUUGUAAGCGCGGGUCAUCAUCCCGCGCUGAAUACGUCCCUGCCCUUUGUACACACCGCCCGUCGCUCCUACCGAUUGAGUGAUCCGGUGAGGCUCUGGGACCUGGACGGAAAGAGCGUUUCGCUUGUUCUGUUUGGGAAACUUGGUCGAACCUUAUCAUUUAGAGGAAGGAGAAGUCGUAACA